GUAACUUAAACCCAAUUAUAAAUGGCUUUGGCUAUAAAGUGUUCUUGAAUGAAAACGUUUAGGAAGUAGGCCUGGAUUCAGAUGCUUCAGAGGCUCAAAGGUUUUCUAAUUGUUUAUGGAGAAGAUUGAUCUUCACAAGCUAGUUUUUUCAUAGGCAAAAGCAAAAGUCUCUUCCUGUGUUAUUAAGUGAAAAUGGCUGAUUAUAAAAAGGGGGCUUACAAACAAUAUUUAACAAAUCUUCAUCAAGUCCCUACUCUGUGGCAGGCCCUGGGUCAGGAGGUUGCCGAUUCCAGGAAGAAUCAGACCUUAUCCCUGCCCUUGAGUCUCAAGAAGAGGAAAGGAAAACAAAUAAGCAUAGUACAGUGUGAAAAGUGGGACUGUGGUCAAAUUUCAGUCUGCAAACUCAGAAUGGAUGAAAUAUGAAAGACUGACAACAUCAAGUUGUCAAGUAGGACAGGAUGUGGAACCACUGGAACUCAUACGUGACUGAUGGGAAUGCAAAAUGAUACCGAUCCCUUGGAAAACUCCUUGGCAACUUUAAUAAACAUAAAUCUACCCUAUGAUCCAGAAAUUCCACUCUGAGUCACGUCUCCAAGAGCAAUGAAAAUAUAUACCCACAAAAGACUGCACAUAAAUCAGAACAGCAUUGUUGAUAAUAGCCCAAACUGGAAACAACCUAAAUAUUCACCAAUAGAAGCCUGAAUAAAUUCAUACUGUGGGAUACUCUACAGCAAUGAGAUCAUGAAAGAUAGUGUGGCUUCCACUUUGGUCUCUUAUAUCACCUACUGGGGGAAGCCAGCUGCCAUGUUGUGAGGACACUCAAGAAGCUCUGUGGAGAGGCUCUUUUGAAGGAGAACCAAUGCCUCCCACCAACAGCCAGCAUCAACUUGGGACAUGUGAGUGAACCAAUUGGAAGUGGAUCCUCCAGCCAAGUCAAGCCUUCAGAUGACUGAAGCCCCAGCCUCAUGAGAGAUAGCAGGCUAAAACUGCCCAGCUAAGCUGCUCCUGAAAUCCUGACCCCCCAAAUUAUAAAAGACAAUAAAUUAUUAUUGUUGUUUUAAGCCACUACAUGUUGGGGUGAUUCAUUAUGCAGCAACAGAUAAUAAAUACAUCACCCUUGUAUUCAUUACUGACGUUUAUUGGGAGCAUAGUGUGUGAUUUUUCAUUUAACCCUUCCAGUAAUGCUGUGAGAUAGGUAAGUUUAUUAUCCCCAUUUUACAGACAAAGAAACUGAGGUUCAGAAUGAGUGAAGUCUCUUCCCUGCAGAGUCCCUGACCUUAAGGAUUUUAUGGUCAGAUCUGAGAGACAGAAGCUCAAAAACCUAUGACUCUAGGCAAAAUAUGGCCCUGGGAUCCCAGGAUGGGGAGAGGAAUUUUGGAUUCUGGCUUCUACUUGGGCCUCAUAGCUUGGGAUGACAGAGGGUACACUCCAAAGGCAACAAACACCUUCCCUGCCCUUGAGCACCUGCUUAAUCAAGGGGAGAAAGUUCAGAUGCUUAUGCAUAAUGUGUGGUAUUUCUCUGCACAGAAACACACACGGGCCUGUACAGUAAUAAUGAAAAGCAACAACCCAUCUUAAGGGCUUGGCACUUUGCACUUACAAAGCCUUAUACAUCCCUAAUUCCAUGGAAUCACACCUGGCAGGUAAGCGUGGCCCUGUACACUUUACAGAUGGGGACACUGAGGUCAGGGAAGUUGUGUGAUUCUUGCAGAGCCAAGCAGCCUAGAAGUGGCAGAGUUCAGGUAAAACCCAGUAACUGGGUGUUUUACAAGUGCUAAGGGUAUGACAGGAGGUAGGCAGGGCUCCUCUGAGGGAGGUUUCAGGAAGAGGUCACCCGCGAGCAGGGUUCUGAGAAUGGGGAAGUGGCUUCGGGGAGAGGAUGGUGCCUGGGAGGGUUUGAGAGGAAACAGAGUGAGUCCCUAGGGGCUCCCAGGGUGUACGAGGGCAAAGAGGUGAACAUAGCUGGAGUGGAAAGAAUGAGAAAGCCUGGGUGUGUGGAAGAGCCUUGGUGUGUUAGGUGGAAUUGCAGCUGGAGGGUGUGUGCAGAAUGAGAGGUCUUGGUAUUGGGGCCAAAGUCAACUGCCACGCCUAAGGAGGGAGGAAGGCGCUUAUUUUGCUUCUUGGGUGAAAAUCAUUCCUGUGAUUUAGUUCUCCUUGGGGGAGGGGCGGGGUUUCAUCCAGCCUUAGCAAAUGCAUUCAAUCUUCACUACUUCUCUCUGUCAGAUGGGGUGGAUAGAGGUCCAAAUGUGGGCAGAAGCUUUUAUGUCCCAUCGCAGGGCAGCUAAGAACAGCUGCGCGGGUCGUUCACUGUACAUGGGCACUAGGCCAAAAGGGACUGAAAUCCGGACGGCCCUUUGUUUACUAAGCCAUGUGCCUGCAAGGCUGCACCUGCCCAGAAGGAAUGCUUCCUAUUUCUUUUCUUUAAAAAAAAAUUUUUUUUAUGAGCUAAAAUUCACAUAACAUAGAAUCUACCAUUUAAACCACUUUAAAGUAUAAAGUUCAGUGCUUUUAGUAUAGUCACAAUGUUGUGCAACCAUCACCACUAGCAGUUUUCGGAACAUUUCCAUCAUCCCAAAAAACAACUCCAUAACUCCUAAUUCCCCCCCUUUCCCCAUCUCUUGGCGACCAUGAAUCUGAACUUUCAUAUGAAUGGAGUUCUAUAAUUUGCUGUCUUCUGUGACUGUCUUCUUUCAUUUGGCAUUAAAACUUUUCAAGUUUUACCCAUGUUGUGGUAUGUGUCUGUACUUCAUUCCUUUUUAUGGCUCGAUAAUAUCGCAUUGUGUGAAUAUUCCACAAUUUGUGUAUCCCUUCAUGAGUUGAUGGACAUAUGGGUUAUAUCCACUGGCUGUUAAGAACAGGCGGGUCACGGUGGCUCACGCCUGAAAUCCCAGCACUUUGGGAGGCUGAGGUGGGCGGAUCACCUGAGGUCAGGAGUUCUAGAUCAGCUUUGCCAACACGGUGAAACCUUGUCUCUACCAAAUAUAUAAAAAUU
rnacentral:lncRNA from 10 species